UUUCUCUUCUCUUUGCAAGUAAAAAGGCUACAUGAUUAAUUCUGCUUUCAACAUCGGAUGUGAAAGCCUGCUUAGGAACCCCCUGCGUGGAAUGGCAGCAGAGAAGAACAAGAAGUGCCUGGUUUGUGUCAGGAGGAACAGGCUGUGCUGUUUCCAGUGCUCUCCUCAGCCUCCCACAGCCACAGAGUCCUUAACAGCAGUCAUUAAACUUCCUAACAUAGACCAGCAGGAGGCCUUGUACUGGGAGAGAGUCCUUGAAGUCCAGCUAAAAUCUUUCUUCUCUUAGUCAUGGUCGUUCCUCAAAACCACACAGUACCUUCAGAAAAUCUGAACAGAAGUAGAGCUGCCCUGCAAGGGCGUCAGUACUGCUGGAAGCAUUAACAGCUUUAAUGAGGAAAGCAGGGCAGGUUUGAGGGUUUGUAGUUGCUGCUCUGCACAGGUCCAGGUGAGAUGCACACUGGUUUAAAUGGGCAUUUGGGGAAUUCCUAAGGUAGGUGUGACAGCAGUGAACCAAAAUUGUUCAUUAUGGGGAGGGUAGGUGGAAGGAAAACCAGUUUAGAUGUCAUGUUACCAACACUUUUCCUUUAUUCCCAGAAGAAAAUACAUGUCAGUGAUUCUCCUCCAUGUUGUCUCCUGAGAUAGAAGACUUCCCAAGGUGUGUGUAGAUUGAAACCAAACACAAAAACCUCCUACUCCAGGUGCAGUUCUCCAACAAAGAAUUACUCAUCCCAUUCUGUUCCAGCUUUUGAGGAUACACCACCAACUCCCAAAAGGCAUCCUGGAGCCUGUUGUUAUUUUGGGAUGCCUCAGCCCCAGCUGGAUUCAGACAGAAGUUAAGCAACAGCAUUUAAUUACAGCUGCGUCAGAGGCUUGUGUCAAACAGCGUAGUCCAUACAGAAAAUAGAAAGUAAUGGUGUAAGGACUGAAGACCUUAAAUCAUAUAAGUGGAAGGAGUAAAGAAAAUUCAGGUUCAAAGUGGAAGCAGCACCUUAGUGCAGCAAAAGCCCCCCAGCCUGGCAGGAUUUGGCAUUAUGGAGUGCAAUAGCCAAGGGAAGGAGUUAGAAGAGGCUAAAGUUGCCCAGGAUUUGCACCCACCAUGUGUGAUCCUGAGCCUUCAGGGGCAAGGCAGUGUGAAGAGAGAAUGAAUAAACGUGAGGGAGCAAAGACAAGGCAUGGGAUCAAGCCAUAAGGAAUUGGCAGCAAAGAAGGCACUUAGAUUCCAGUAGCGGGAAGUUUUGGAACAGAAGGAAACAGAAGAUAUUGCUGUGGUUUGGCUAAAAGUGAGACAGAAGGUUUUCCUUAUUCCUGAGGGAUGUCCAUGGGGAACAGGCAAAAGCUGCUGUCCUUUGCUCUCUGGUGUACAACCUGCCCUUGGCAUCUCACGACUUCACAUCUGGAAAAGUGCUUUUGGGGAGGUGGGAGUGAUGCUCCUGGUCCUGCUUCCCAAACUGGUCCGAAACCACCACGGUCAGCACAGGAAGCAAAGAAAUCCUGAGGCUGUUGCAGCAGAGGAGGCCUGAGCCUGCCAUCAAACUACAGCUUUUCCCUUCUGUGCUGGUUUAAGGGUCUCCUGAACAGUGUACCCUUGGCUCAACACCAGGGAGGGCAUAUAUCUGUAGGUCAAGCCCUGAGGUCUGAAGAACAACUACAUCAACAAGGAAACAACGCCCAAACAGAAACCUGAAUCAAUAUUCAGUCAAGCCCUUUAAUUAUGUGGCUCAUUUUGUACUGAUGUAAGCAGAUCCUUAAUUCUGAAGCAACCUGUGCCUAGGGAAAAGGAGUGGAAGAGACUGUGGUGUCCCUGUACACAGCAGCUGAUGGGGAAGCAUGAUCCAGUGAAGAGAUGGAGAGCAUGAGAGAUGUAAAACCUCAGCCAGACUGACACUGAGAAGUUGUGGAGAUACCCAGGGAG